ncrna:Pongo pygmaeus (Bornean orangutan) microRNA ppy-mir-142 precursor
CAGUGCAGUCACCCAUAAAGUAGAAAGCACUACUAACAGCACUGGAGGGUGUAGUGUUUCCUACUUUAUGGAUGAGUGUACUGU